UUGGGAAAAAGGAUUUCCCACCUUCUAAUUAGGUCAAUCGCUUCCCAUUCUCCCAUUUCCCACAUCUGUGUUGAAAAUUAGACGGAACCGUUGUAGAAGAUUUCAUCAGCAGAAAUAGGUGAAACUUCAGAUUCUAUAUUAAUAAAAGCAAACUCAAAAUCAUCAUCACCGUUCUCAUCCUUAUCCAGUUCAGCUUUCUCAUUCAAAAUCUGUGCACAACUUAAUGUCUCAUUAUUAUCAUUGAAGAAAAAUUCGGAAUUUGUUUUAUCUUCAGCGUUGAAUUCUUUGAUAACUCUAGCAGCAAUUUCGGUGAGAUUGGUGUUGGAAUUAUAACUCGAAGACUUCAGGGACAACAUCGGUAAGUCAAUCUCUCUUUCUCUCUCUCCUUUCCCCUUUCCCAGAUUUCGGGUUCCGCCACUGUCACCUGAAGCUUGAGUCCGCUUCACUCCAAUUCUUCAGCAUGCAAGAAUUUGUUGGUCAGGAAUUGGGUUUGUUAACUCCUUAGGUAACCUAUCUGUAUACUAGGUGUUAGAUGAAUUUAUUGAAAGAAAUUGAUUUUUAUUGAACUUCUAGAUUUUGCUUCUUUUUAGAUUUUGAGUUUCGUUUGUAUUUUCUUAUGGUUGGACUAUAUCUGUCCAUUCAAAAUUUUCAUUUUACAAAAUGACAUUGGAUUUCAGAAGUGUUAUAUGCAUCUGAAAUGGCAGAUAUAGGGUUUGGGGGGUUUUGAAGGUUUUGAAGAUUUAGGUACUUGAGAAGCCAUUUUUGUUGAAUCUUGAUUGAAAAGAUUGGAUUUUUACAAUGUGUGUGUGUGUGCCACUGUUAGUGAGGCAUAGCAGAAGAAGAGAAUCCAACCGGAAAAAUUGAUUGAAAAGAUUGGAUUUACUUCAUUGUUUUGGUUCAAAGGGGUGCUCAUGAAAAAUUAAAAAAUCCAACCAGAAUGAAAAAGAGCGCUCAGGUGGCUCAGUGCACACGGGCGGUUCAAUUAGUAUGGCGGCUCAUAGAAGAAGAUUGAAAAAGGCUAAAGGAAGACUAGUUACUCAUGAUGAGGUAUUUGAGGAAACCCACAUGAAGAAGUUGAAGGAUGGAACAAAAAUGACUUGGGUUGAGCAGCGCGCUGAGACAACCCGUGAUACUUUCAAAUGAAGCUCGGAGGAGUUCAUUCAAAGUCAGCUGAUUGAUGAUCAAGGUAGGCCAAUCCAACUAUCCCAAGAGGAGAUCAUGGACAUGUGGAUUAAGGCAGCUGGUGGCGUGCAUAAGGGGAGAGUCUACGGCCUUGGAUCAGAGUUUAGUCUCGGUCGUCGUACUUCUGGAUUGUCUGGUUUUUAUUCUUGCUCACAUUGCUCGAUUUAUCUGGAUGAGUUUGAGGAAUUGAAUAGGAAGGUAGCGAAGAUUACUGAGUUGUAUCUUCAAGAAAGGGCUGCAAGGAAAGAAGAGGCAAAGCGGAGGGAGGAAAAAGAUAUGCGAAGAGAGGAAGAGGAAAGGCGAAGGGAGGAAGAAAUGAGGCACAAGGACGAUGCAUUAAGACUUGUCACUAGUGAUGUUAAAAGUCUCAAGUCUCAGAUAAACUCCCUCUUAGCAUCUGGUGCAUUUCUUGUGCCCCGUUCUCCAGCAUAUGAUGAUAAUUAAGGAGUAGUUUCUUUUAUUAGCUUGUCUUGGAUGAUACUUGGAUGUUGAAUAUUGAAUGUUGGAUUUUUUGAGUUUUUGUUCUACUUUUUGAUUAGUUGGAUUAAUUAUGAAAUGGAUUGAUUAGUUGUUGUUUAUGAAAUAAAUUGGAUUGCAUGUUGAA